rnacentral:lncRNA from 1 species
UUAAAUAGUCAGCGUGGUUCAAUACAAUCAUCUCUUUUCUUUACUCUAACCUCUCUCUAGAAACUUCCUAACUGAGGACGAUCGUCGGUGGCCAGUGGUUCUUACCGCCGGUUACCAUCUCUUUUUUUGUUUUUUGAUUGUAUAUAUUCGAUCUGUUUGAUCGAUUUUCACUUCCGGUUGCGGACUUUACUUUUCGCUAGGCGAUUUUGAUGUGCUUAGAGUCAAUUGAUCAGAGCAGUUUAUCAAUCACUUUCUUUUUCUGAAUCAUUUUGACUCUUAUAAUAAAGAUCCCAUCUUUGGAUCGGUUUAGUUCUAAGCUUCCUCUCUUUGAAGAUUUCAUACCCCUACUGCUUUCGUUUGGUCUUCCUCUUCCCGUUGGUCAUCCUUUACCUUCAUCUUUAAGGAAAUCAAUCUUUGCUUCGAUGUUAUAAGCAAAGUCUUCCGAGAAGUUGAAAAGUUGAGCUUUGCAAGAUGUCUAGAUGAUUUACUUCGGUUUUAGAUGAGUUGAAGCUUGCUUCUGAUUGCAAGUGUUUCAACAAAAACUGUUGGUGAAUCGUUUUAAGUUGAAAUUAAUCAAUGGUAUUAAUUUAAAUAAAAUAUUUUAAAUUUCUAAAAAGAUUUUAUUAGAUUUUUUCUCAACAUUUUGUUAUAACUAAAAAUAAAAUUUAAAUUUACAGUUAAAAUUGAUUUAUUAUUAAUAUCUUUAUAUAUUGAAUAUAUUAAUAUAAAUAAUUAAAUAAAUGAAAUUAAUGAAAUGGACCUAGUAUGACUUUUUUAUGGUAGAUAAAAAUGGUCAUUCUCUUUUAAUAGAGAAGAUUAAUAUCUAUAUAAUUUAUAAUAUUUUUUAGAAGUUAUAUAUUAAAUAGAUUAACUUAAAUAGUCAAAUAUAUGUAAUUGAUGAAAUAGUCCUAGUAUAAAUUUUUAUGAUAUUUAUUUUAAUAAAUAAGAUAUAGAAUAUAAUUAUAAAAUUUGAAAAAUAGCAUACACUUUUAUCUUAUUUUUUUAUAAUAAAAUUUUAUUUAAAUUAAUUUAUAAUAGUAUAUAUUAUUAAUUAUGAAAUUAAUCAAUGGUAUUAAUUUAAAUAAAAUAUUUUAAAUUUUUAAAAAGAUUUGGUUAGAUUUUUUCUCAAUAUUUUGUUAUAUCUAAAAAAAAAUUUAAAUUUAAAUUUAAAAUGAUUUAUUAUUUAUAUAUUGAAUAGAUUAAUAUAAAUAAUUAAAUAAAUGUAAUUAAUGAAAUGGAUCUAGUAUAAUUUUUUAUGGUAGAUAAAAUUGGUACUUCUCUUUUAACAGAGAAUAUAUCUUUUAGUUUGAUAUUUACCAAGAUUUUAUUCACCGCAAGUAUCUUUUAAAUAUCUUCAUUUUUUUCUAUCUUUGAAGGACCCUAAGAUCGGCUCACUCGAAUGGAUCAGAUUUGGAUAUGAACUCCGGAUGGAGAACAGAAUGGAUUGAAGGGUCGCACGAAGGUUGCGGAAAGGCCUUCGAUAUUCCCGACUCCAAAUGGUGCUUGAUAUGACUCACAAGACCACCAAGUGAAGGAUCUCCCGUCGUUGCUUGAUAUGACUCACAAGACCAACGAUUUGAGGAAGUGUUUACUUGGAUAUGACUCACCAAGAAACUAAGAACAAGUUCUAAACGAAGAACAAAGAGUUUUAACUCAAAAGUUUUAGACAAAAUCGAUUUCUCAUUUAUUAAAAUGAAAGAGUUUCAUACUUAUAGAGUUUUGUAGAUCUAGGAAUUAAAUAUGUUCAGAUAAAAAUGGUCAUUCUCUUUUAAUAGAGAAGAUUAAUAUCUAUAUAAUUUAUAAUAUUUUUUAGAAGUUAUAUAUUAAAUAGAUUAACUUAAAUAGUCAAAUAUAUGUAAUUGAUGAAAUAGUCCUAGUAUAAAUUUUUAUGAUAUUUAUUUUAAUAAAUAAGAUAUAGAAUAUAAUUAUAAAAUUUGAAAAAUAGCAUACACUUUUAUCUUAUUUUUUUAUAAUAAAAUUUUAUUUAAAUUAAUUUAUAAUAGUAUAUAUUAUUAAUUAUGAAAUUAAUCAAUGGUAUUAAUUUAAAUAAAAUAUUUUAAAUUUUUAAAAAGAUUUGGUUAGAUUUUUUCUCAAUAUUUUGUUAUAUCUAAAAAAAAAUUUAAAUUUAAAUUUAAAAUGAUUUAUUAUUUAUAUAUUGAAUAGAUUAAUAUAAAUAAUUAAAUAAAUGUAAUUAAUGAAAUGGAUCUAGUAUAAUUUUUUAUGGUAGAUAAAAUUGGUACUUCUCUUUUAACAGAGAAUAUAUCUUUUAGUUUGAUAUUUACCAAGAUUUUAUUCACCGCAAGUAUCUUUUAAAUAUCUUCAUUUUUUUCUAUCUUUGAAGGACCCUAAGAUCGGCUCACUCGAAUGGAUCAGAUUUGGAUAUGAACUCCGGAUGGAGAACAGAAUGGAUUGAAGGGUCGCACGAAGGUUGCGGAAAGGCCUUCGAUAUUCCCGACUCCAAAUGGUGCUUGAUAUGACUCACAAGACCACCAAGUGAAGGAUCUCCCGUCGUUGCUUGAUAUGACUCACAAGACCAACGAUUUGAGGAAGUGUUUACUUGGAUAUGACUCACCAAGAAACUAAGAACAAGUUCUAAACGAAGAACAAAGAGUUUUAACUCAAAAGUUUUAGACAAAAUCGAUUUCUCAUUUAUUAAAAUGAAAGAGUUUCAUACUUAUAGAGUUUUGUAGAUCUAGGAAUUAAAUAGAAAACUAGAUCUAGAUCUAGAUCUAGUCAAUACACGGAAAUAAAGAGAUAAGCUAGUCAAAGUGACCGUUCGGCUUCUGUCCAGAUGCAUCCGAACCGGCUAAGUCCAAAGCAGUAAGGAUCAGCACAUAGGCGGGACGAUCAGCAAGGGCCGCGGGACGUUCUGAUCGGACAAGUUGUGUUCCAACAAAGCCCAAGUCUUCUGAUAGCUUAAGGAUCCUUGCCUUAGAGAAAUUUCCAAAGGAAAAGUCCAUGAUCGGAUCGAACAAGGUAGAGAGAUCAUCACCACGGUCGUUGGUACAUGCGGUACGAGCCAAUCGAGCCAAAAGAGAGAAGUCUCGAUCAUUUUGUGAAACCUCAUGAUCCAAGUCAAGUCUGACAUGAUCNNNNNNNNNNNNNNNNNNNNNNNNNNNNNNNNNNNNNNNNNNNNNNNNNNNNNNNNNNNNNNNNNNNNNNNNNNNNNNNNNNNNNNNNNNNNNNNNNNNNAAAUGAAAAGAUAUAAAAAGAUUUUAUUCAUAUAUAAUUUUAGAGUAAAUAUAGGAAUAUCUAUUUGAUUUGUUUUUCUUAGAACAAUUCAAAUCAUUUAAAUAUUUAUACAAAAAUUAAUUUUAACAACUUUCUAAAGGGUGAUCCAAAUUAAAAAAUCACACAUGAAUUAAGUCAUGAAUUCUCUUUUAAUAGAAUAGAUGUUUUCAGACUUGCAUGAAUGUAUGUAUAAUUUAUAAACCACAAUCUAGCCUGGCCAACCACGACCCUAAAUUAAUCAAUACCACUUUUUGUAUGAAUAAAAUUGGUCGUUUUUUGCUUGCUCUAGAAAAUUGCUUUAGUAUAUUAUUAAUAUGAACCUCAUAACAUGUUCCACAUCCUUUUCCAUUGUUGAAUAGUGAAGGGCCUCCGGCUGAAACCAUCGCGUAUAGCGGUGGAUUUGCCACUGCCACGCCAUAUUCACAAGCUCCUCCUAUUGACAUAUAUUUACAUUAUCAAACAAACAUAUUUUUUGAAGAUAAAAUAUUUAUAUAUAUGUAGUUUCAAAUUUUAAUAAUACGUACCGGUGCUACCUGCUCACUCUGGUUCACCGUACCAAGUAGCACCAGCGUCUGCGUCGGCCCAGCCAGCGGCAUUUAUUUUUUUCAUUCUGGCAAUAACAAAACUUAAAGGAGGCUGCAAAAAGAGUUAAAAGGGCAAAGCAUCUAUGGAAUGGUGCCUUUUUUUUUUUUUUUUUUUUUUUUUUUUUANNNNNNNNNNNNNNNNNNNNNNNNNNNNNNNNNNNNNNNNNNNNNUGAAGAUUUUCUUCUAUUUAAAGCAUGAAAAAAAAAACAAGCCAUAAGGCCUUAGUUUUUGGGCUGCGCCCUAUUACAAAAAAAGGCCGAAGCCCACAUUAGAGAAAAAAACCAGUGGAUAAAAGAUGAGAUAGUAGAAGCCCAGAUGACCAGAAAAAAAGAGUUACGGAUCAGAACUGAGGACUUAGUCGGUUGAUUGCAGAAGUGGUAGAGGAGGGUUUGGAGGAUAUGGUGAUGGAGCAGUUGCAAACCAGAGCUGAAUCAUCUGAGAAGCUUCGAUUGGGUUUGAGUCUCUGAAGCCAUGGAUCUUAUUUCGAAUCAUUCUGUCCAGUAUGGAAGAGAUGGUAGUGAUGAUUUUUGCAGUGUUACGGUGAAGUCGAGCAUUCCUUUCUUGCCAAAUAGAGUAGAUUACAGCUUGCCAUACAAUCAGUUGAAGCUUCCUGCGCCACGGAGGUCCUGGUAGUGAUUGCAUGUGAUUAAGAGAAUCGUUCCAGCCAGUAGAUGGGGUUGUCUCAGUCCGCCGAGCAUGAUGGAUCCAAAGUUCAGAGGAGAAUGAGCAAGAGAAGAACAAGUGGUCCCUUGAUUCGUCUCCUUGAUUGCAGAGUAGACAAGUUGCAGGAACAGCAAGUCCCCAAGAGAGAAGUCUGUCUCGGGUCGGUAGUCUAUUUAGGGUGACGAGCCAGGCGUGGAAGCUAUGUCGGGGCACACCACCAGAAUUCCAAAUAGCUCCUUUCCAAGGUAUAGUUUGCGCAUGAUUUUUCUGGAGUUUAUAGAUUGUUCCAGUCUGAUAUUUAAGCCAAACUUUACCUUCUAUUGUUCACUCAUAUUCAUCAGGGAGCUGAGACAGAGCAACCGAAGAUAAAAAUGCUUGAAUUUGAACUUGGCGAUCAGAGCGGGCCGGUCUUAUAUUCCAGUGAUCCCUGACAAACAGAUCAUAGAGUGUAGCUGAUAUGGGGAUUCCCAUCGAGUUCGCUGUAACAGGGGCCAAGAAUUUGUGGAUACUCCUAACGGGUGACCAAUUAUCCGUCCAAAAUCUGACUUCUCUUCCAUUACCAACCUUCACAGUGAUCCAAUCAUAAGCAAUGCUUCCAAGCUUGAGCAGUUUAUUGGUGAACCAAGAAUAUUUUUUCUUCUCCUUAGUGAUCCAGAAGUGCUGAGCGAUCCUUUGAGAACUUCAGCCUUAUACCACGCGACCCAGAUUGAUCCUGAGUUUGAAAAUAAGAGCCAUAUGAGCUUAAGGGAACAUGCUUUAUUCCAAGCAACAAGGUCACGACACCCCAAGCCACCUUCUUCCUUGGCCAGAGUAACGGUUUCCCAUGAAACCCUCGCCGAGUGGCUUCCUUCAGCGCUGCCAUGCCAUAAAAUUGCUCCACAGAGAGAGUUAAUCUUUGAGAUACAUGCUUUUGGCAAGACGAAAGUGGAGGACCAGAAGUUAGUGAUCCCCGAUAUCACAGUGUUGAGUAGAAGGAGCCGUCCAGCGAAUGAGAGGGAGCGAGUACUCUAAGAGUUAACUUUGUCUUUGAUGUGCUGGAGGAGAGGAGCGCAGUUAUGGAGGGAGAGCUUCUGGGAACAGAGGGGGAUGCCAAGAUACCUGACUGGUAAAGAACCAUGAGUAAGGCCCGUGGUAGCUCCAAUAAGGUCGAUUUGGUCUUGAGACAAACCCGAAGACACGAAGGAGGUUUUCUGGAUACUGGCUGUAAGACCGGAGUGAGCUGCAAAUUCAUUGAGGAUUGAGAGAACUCCUUGGACAGAGCUCAGCUUACCAUCUGUGAAAAUGAGAAGGUCAUCAGCAAAACAGAGAUGAGUAAGCUUUGAGGAUUUGCAUUUCUCAUGGUAUCCAAAGACGCCAUUCUCAGCUCCUUUAUUGAGCAUCAAGGACAACCACUUCAUCGCUAUGACAAAGAGAUAAGGAGACAGAGGAUCUCCUUGUCUCAAUCCUCGCUUUCCUUUGAAGAAACCUUGAAUUGUGCCAUUGUAUCCAACCGAGAAGGAUGGGGUACACACACAACUCCUUAGCCAGUAAAGGUACGUGGAGGGGAGCCCUAGGGAGGACAAACAUAUGAACAAGAAGUUCCAGCUCAGUGUAUCGAACGCUUUAGCAAUGUCUACUUUGAGAGUUAUACGGGGAGGUCCUUUGUUCUUUUGAUAACCGUCAACAAGCUCAGUGGCCAGAAUCGUAUUUUCAACCAGCAACCGUCCUUGGAUGAAUGCGGUUUGAUUGGGGAGGAUCAGCUUAGGAAGUAUCUGUUUAGCUUGGAGACUAGGAUUUUUGAGAUUGCCUUGUAGAGAGUUGUACAGCAUGAGAUGGGCCGAUAGUCGGUGAUAGCGGAUGCACCAGGAUGCUUCGGUACGAGGGUGAGGAUGGUGGCGUUGACACUGGUGGGAAGGAAGCGUGUCCUAAAGAAGGUAGCUAGAGAGGAGACGACAUCUUCUCCCACAAUUGACCAAGCCGAUUUGAAGAAUCCGGAGGUAAGACCGUCGGGACCAGGAGCUUUAUGAUCUAAAUUUGUUUCGUUUAAAGAAAUUUCUGUAAUAUCAAUAGCUAGAUGUGAAUUCGAUUCAUAAUAUGAUAGUAUAAUGUGUUUUUGGGAGUAGUUCUUUGGAUUCAGUGUAUAGGAGAUCGUAUAAUUGACAAUAUUAGGAUGUAGAAAUGUAAAAUGGAAUUAGUAGGAUAAAAAGGAAUGGAAUAUAGAGAAACAUGGAAUAUAUUUCAUUCCAUUUAUUCAUGAUUAAGAUUGGAAUGAAAUAAGUUUCUUUGAAUUUUCUUUUAUUUUUAUGGAAUUGAUGGAAUAAACAUUAUAUUCAUUCAUUACAAAUGGUACAAGAAUUUAUGGUAUAAAUAAAAUAGAGAAUUUUAUAUUAUUUUAUUCUAAAAAUUGGCAUUCUAGUUUUGGAACUUAUGGAAGUAAGUUAAGCUUCUCUGUAGAAGCCGGAAAACCGGAUUAAAAGAAACGAUAUAAUAUAAACGAUGUUAAGGAAAAUAUGUAUAGAUGAUUCGAAACCGCAACGAAAAUGAAAGCAUGGAGUGGAGACGAAUCUCUUUCCUUAACUCUUAAUAUUCGCUCCGUUAGUGCGACGGAUCUGUAUGAAUAUGAGUCCCAGGAUAAAACCAUGACAGGUUAUCACGCGGCACUCGUGAAAAACCUCUACGAACCAAUAUUUCUACGAAACACUCUCUAGAACUUACGCUAAAGGAUUUGCUGGUUUUUGUUGCGAAAAAACGUCAUCAGAAAUGAAGGAGGAGACGAGUUUAUAAAAGGGGAGAAGACGAGCCACUUUCCGCAACUGAUGCAGCACGUGUGCAUGUUAGCGUGCGCAUGUUAGCGGAAAUCUCGCGAGGAUCUCGGAGGCGAGGCGUUACGAAACUUCCUCCGCAAGAUCUUUUCUCAUUUAAACUUAUCGUCAAGAAGAGAGACAGCGUGUUGUUUUUAAAUGAACUACGUGUUGGCAUGCCGUUUUUCGGGAAUUAAAUGGCAAAACUUUGAGCUUAACUUGGUCCAAAAAAAAAUAGUCUUAUUGGGCCAGAGGCCCUCCACCAAGACCCAAGACCCAAGGCCCAAGACCCAAGCCCAAACCCAAGCCUAAGCCCAAGCCCAAGCCCACGCCCACACAGAGCCGAACCGAGCCGGCCAGACGGCGGCGGCACGUGCGCGUGGGGAGCCUUCUCCUAUCUGAAGCUGGUUAACCCAGGAUAGCAUGAAUGCAUAUAUAUACAUUUCUCUUUCUCUUGUCACACACGAUGUGGGACAAGUUCUCAUUUCUUCAUUUACUAAGCCAUUAGGCUUCUAAUUACACAGGCCCAUAGGCCCAUUUCUUUUCACCACUUUCCAAUUAAAAAUUGGUCCAACAAUCCCCCACAUGAAUAGAAAUGACUCUAAACAUAUGUAGACUAAAUGCAGAUCCGAAGGACUCUAAAACUAUAUUUACUUUAAUCCUGACUAGACUAGACAGACUUUUCGAGAGUGUUUGCGAAAAAUUCACUGUGUUUGAGUUGGUGGCAUUUUUAAGCCUUGAACCACUCAUAGUUAAUAUCUGUCGGGUUUACUUUACCAGAAGGUGAACAUGAUGUCUUGAACCAACCAGUGUUUUAUGUAAACCGAGACAACAGGCAUAACGCAGCUUUAUUUUCUCGUAGAACUUAGUUCUCUAUUGUGUUCAUUGUGGCCCUGAACUAUUCCUGGUUUUCAUGAGUGAACUUAGAGAAUAUAGCCUUGCAUUCAUUCUCCUAGAAACGGCCCCAUUUCACACUCAUUAGGUGAUUGACCAUGAAAAGUAUUGAGUAAUACUCCGCUUAGAAGCUAUGGAAUCAUUAAAAGCUUAUGCUUAUCCUUCACACAUUUGUUAGCACUUUUAUCAUCUUAGGAGCUGGGAAGAGACUACUUUGUCUCAAGUGCUUUGUUUAGAUUCUGUUUGAUUUUGUUUUCCUUUUGAACCUACGUCUUGGGAUCUCCAGUCAUGAUAGGUAGGGUUGCAAUCAAGCAUCCUCAUUCGUUAUAGGCUUUAAACCCAUUCCUUUUGAUGAUUUAGCAACAACAUCUCGUGGCAAACCUUUAGUAAAUGGAUCCGCUAGGUUGUCAGCCGAUUUGAUGUAGUCUAUUGUGAUUACACCAGUUGAGAUAAGUUGUCUAAUGGUUUUAUGUCGUCUUCUGAUGUGACGAGAUUUACCAUUGUAGAGAUUAUUCUGAGCCCGAGCUAUUGCUGAUUGACUAUCACAAUGUAUGCGUAUAGCUGGCACAGGUUUCUCCCACAUAGGAAUAUCUUCCAAAAAAAUUCUAAGUCAUUCAGCUUCUUCUGCUGCUUUGUCUAAGGCUAUGAACUCAGAUUCCAUGGUUGAUCUGGCUAACACUGUUUGUUUGGUAGAUUUCCAUGAUAUUGCUGCUCCUCCUAGUGUAAAGACAUAUCCACUCGUGGAUUUUGAGUUUUUAGAAUCUGAUAUCCAGUUAGCAUCACUGUAUCCUUCUAAAACUGCUGGUUCUUUACCAUAGUGAAGCCCAAAAUCUUUGGUGUAGCGCAAGUAAUUGAGUACCCUCGUUAUAGCUUUCCAGUGUGUAUGACCUGGAUUACUUGUAUAUCGACUAAGUACGUUUACUGCAUGCGCUAGAUCUGGUCUAGUACAAUUGGUCAAGUACAUGAGACUUCCGAUCACACGUGCAUACUCGUUUUGUGAAACCGCUUCACCUGAAUUCUUUGUCAAGUGCAUUUGGGGAUCUAACGGAGUUUUUGCUGUACUAUUAGAGUAAUUUUUAAAUGUCUCUAAUAUUGUUUGAGCAUAAUGAGAUUGGGUUAAGAUAAUUCCGUUUGAAUUUCUUGUGACUUUAACCCCGAGAAUUACAUCUGCUAAUCCCAAGUCUUUCAUCUCAAAUGUCCCUUUGAGCAUGUUUUUUGUUUGAUUGAUAAUGUCUUUAUUGCUUCCAAUAAUGAGCAUAUCAUCUACAUAUAGACAUAUCAAAACAUACACAUUUUUUGUAGUUUUGUAGAAUAUGCAUUUGUCACAUUCAUUUAUUUUGAAACCGUUUGACAUCAUUGUAUUGUCAAAUUUUUGAUGCCAUUGUUUAGGAGCUUGCUUAAGUCCAUAAAGUUACUUUACAAGUCGGCAUACUUUGUCUUCCUGUCCGGGAACGACAAAUUCUUCAGGUUGUUUCAUUUAAAUUUCCUCUUCUAAAGCGGAUUAAGAGUUAAGAUUGUAGAAACCGGAAAACCGGAUUAAAAGAAACGAUAUAAUAUAAACGAUGUUUAGGAAAAUAUGUAUAGACGAUUUGAAACCGUAACGAAAAUGAAAACAUGGAGCCGAGACGAAUUUCUUUCCUUAACUCUUAAUAUUCGCUCCGUUAGUGCGACGGAUCUGUACAAAUAUGAGUCCCAGGAUAAAACCUAUCACACGGCACUCGUGAAGAACCUCUACGAACUAAUAUUUCUACGAAACACUCUCUAGAACUUACGCUAAAGGAUUUGCUGGUUUUGGUUGUGAAAAAAUGUCAUCAGAAAUGAAGGAGGAGACGAGUUUAUAAAAGGGGAGAAGACGAGCCACUUUCCGCAACUGAUGCAGCACGUGCGCACGUUAGCGGAAAUCUAGCGAAGAUCUCGGAGGCGAGGCGUUACGCAACUUCUUCCGCAAGAUCUUUUCUCAUUUAAACUUAUCGUGAAGAAGAGAGACAGCGUGUUGUUUUUCGGGAAUUAAAUGGCAAAACUUGGUCCAAAAAGAAUAGUCUUAUUGGGCCAGAGGCCCUCCACCAAGACCCAAGACCCAAGCCCACGUCAAACCGGCCGGCCGGUGGCGGCGGCGCGCGCGUAGGGAGCCUUCUCCUCUCUGAAGCUGGUUAACCCAUGAUAGCAUGAAUGCAUAUAUAUACAUCUCUCUUUCUCUUGUCACACACAAUAUGGGACAAGUUCUCAUUUCUUCAUUUACUAAGCCAUUAGACUUCUAAUUACACAGAUCCAUAGACCCUUUUCUUUUCACCACUUUCCAAUUAAAAAUUGGUCCUACAUUCUCAACUCUCUAAAAAGAAAGCAUAUUUUAAGAACGUGAAAAUUAACAUUAACAAAUUAUAGAUAGUUGACCAAAACCCCCUUGGAUAUGUAUUGACAUUUUUUUCAAUUGCUAAUUCAGGUUUUCUAAAACUUAAAUAUAGGAAAGUUUUUUUUUUGUAUGUUCGACUCUUAGAGUUAAGACUUUAAUUUGCGAAUCUAAAUCAACGAUAUAAAACGUGACCAAUAGAACAUUAGAAAAUGACAAUAUUCUCUACGAAAACAAACAAGAUAGAGGGUUUUGAACCAAACAAAUUACAUUUUAUGUUAUCAUACAAGUGACUGAUUAUCGUUAUACCAGUUCACCAUAUGAAGUAUAACACAAAUUUUUUAUUUCGCCCUGGGGGCGUACACGGUACACAUUAAUUAUUUUAAAACCAACAUAGCUACAUGCUUAUUUUAAAACCAACAUAGCUACAUGUAACAAAGAUAACUUCUACUAAAUAUUACUCGACUCGUGACUCCUGAGUAAGAUAAACUUAAGCUAGCUAGACUUGGAAGUUUACGUUCGAUUUAUACUUUGCACCGGGCUGCCAACCAGCCGGUAUAACAUCAGAAGCCACAACGGUCUUGCCGGAGUCUAGAUAAGUCAACCGAAGAGACAGUGGAGCUCGCAAAGGUGAUGUAACUUCAAGCUUCCACACCGCACCCCAUGAGUGGCUCAUUGGAAGCCAUGUGUCAGAUUCUAACGCUUGUUUGAGUUCAACUUGGCCUAUUUCACCGUCUCCGUUUACAUACUCAACCAAAGCCGCGAAGUAGUAGGCGUUAGAACCUCCGUCCACUUGAAACACCACCAUUUCGCCAUUAUAGUUGCACUCAACUCUACAAACAUAUAUAAAUGAAAGUACAAUAUUUAGAACAAAAUCAAUAAACCAAACAUUAGCAUAUAACAAUAUUGUUGUAGUUAUUUAUCUAAUGUGACAUGUAUACUUUCUAUAAAGAAUCUGCAAAACUCCUGCAUUUCGAAGCUGGCUAUCUUGACCGGGAACGGCCAUCGCACCAAACGCUGUACCGCUCAAAUCGAAAUGAACCGACUCUGUGAGGCAUCCUUGUCCACAUUCGUCUGUAAUCACUACCGUAACAGGAUUCGUCGAACACGCCUGGUUCGAAGUGCAUUUUAUCUGUGCAUUAUAUUAACCAAACGUAUAAUUUUUUUUAACCUUUUAAACUUUGAUAUAUUUUAAAUGUAUUAAACGCUUCUGCUUAAUUGUAAUUAUUUUGAUCAUGCAGAACCUGAUAACAUGCACCACAUCCUCUCCCCGACUUAUACAACGAUGGACCUCCGGCUGAUACCAUGGACAAAAACGGGGCUUGUGCCACAGCAUUUUUAUAUCCACAUGCUCCAUCUUGAUCAUUAUUUUAUAUUCUAGUUAAUUAGUGUUAUAAAUAGAGCAAAAUAACUUGAUUAUGUAGAGAUAUAAUGUGCAUUAAAUAUAUAUAUAUAUAUAUACCGUCGGUUCCGUAGCCGGUGGGGAGGCCAUAGAACGUAGCUGCGGCCAGAGACCAAUCGGAAUCCCCCGCUACCGCCGAAACAUUGAGUCUUUUUGGGUUAAAGCAAUGAGCCGAGUGCAGUAGAACAAAAGUUAGAACCAAGAGUAAGUUCAUGAUCAUGUAACAUCGCUCUAAGACAAGAAUUGCCAUUGUAAUUAUGAGUGACUAUUGAGUUAUGACUUGGUGUUACUUAUAGACUUACCAUUUGUUGAUCGAAACCCGUGAAGGACUCUACUACCCAACUGUUUAAAGCCACGUGUCAUAUCUAGUAGCCCAACUUAUAGGACACGUGAAGUCUUUUUUUUUUUACUACGAACGUGCCCUACAUGACGGUUAACGGUUUGGCCCACAGUUACAUGUAGGUCUGGGAGUUUGCAUUCGGGUUUUGGUUCUAUUUAGUAACAUAACAUAUGUCUACGUUCUAGUAAAUUUGCAAGAGUCGGGUUCGAAUAUACACUACAAAAAAACGUGGUCAGAACAACCACGUAUUAAACUAUAAUAGUAUCGUCGUAAUUUAACGUCGUUUUUACGUCUACUUUACAGGAGGUAAAUUUGCUACGAUAAUGUUUCGCCAUAAAUUAGUCGUGAAGUAACGUUUUUUUAACGACGACCUAGUCGUAGUUUUGCUACGGAGUUGGAUGUAUGCACACAGAUUCUGCAGGAAGAGUGAAAAGCGAAUUUCUCAACGGAGCAGAGACAUUCAUGUACCAGGUCGGAAGGGCGUCUCUCACGCAGGAAACAUGUAAAAUGUUUUGUCCCUGACAUUCAUUGGUCUAUUGCUGUCAACGAGACGGUGAAGGAAGCGUUCAACGACUAGGCGAUGACUCGCCUAGAAAACAAUGUUGCGGAUUGGAAGGAGAAGUUGAGGGUUUUAGGGGAUAGGUCGCAACCCCUCUACAUCAGCGAUGAUGUUUGGAAGAGCUUAAAGGCUUAUUGUAAUGUGCCUAAGUCUGUUCGAAAGUCUCUCAAGUGCUCUGCGUCUAGGUUGACACAUGAUGCUUAGGACAAUUUGCCCAUACCCCAUACUUCCGGAUAGACUCCACACGCCCGGAAAACCCUUCAAAUUGUAAGUCUUCGAUCUUUCUUAAAAUUUUAAAAUUAUGAAUUAAUUGUUUAUUGAAGGCAUGAGAUUAAUUAAUUUAAAUUUUUUUGUAGGCUGCUCAAGAAGGAGCACCACCAUCUCUUUCCCGGCUUUACAAGACGACACACCAGCAUUCUGAUGGGACGUUUGUGCAUCCUGAAGCAGAAAUGAUCUACAACGAUGUCGAGACUCGGAUCCAGGAGAUUCAGGCACAAAUGUCCCAACAAAAUCCCGAAGGUGAACCGGUUCAGUUGUCUACCGUCGAACAAGACAAAAUAUUUGAGCAGGUAAAAUUUUCAAUCUUUUUAAUAUAUUUUAUACAUUUUAAUUUUUGAGUUUUAUAUAUGCAUGUACUAAUAUUCAUUUAAUUAAUUUAAUAUUAUCCCGAAGAAAAAGGGACGGGUGAUCGGGAUCGGUACGGUUGACGAUGUCUCGAGGGCGAGAGCUGCAUAUGCGGCGAGAAUGUAGGACGAUUCUCAGCUCCAUACAGAUUUGACGGCUGCCAACCAAGCCAUUUCGGAGCUUCGGGCAGACAACCAGGCCAACAAGACCCACAUUACGUCUUUGGUGGGGAUGUUCAUUCUUGUAGAGACUAACCCGGCUCUUGCAAAUAUGUGGCAAGCUGUACGUCCGACCAUUAACUCCAAUCCCACUCCCGAAGAGCAGGCGGAUAUAGAGCAACGGGCCCCUCAACGCAGUUCCGAGAUCAUCGACGACAUCAACCUUAAUAAUUAGAUUUUAUUUCUGUUAUGUAUUUUGUAUUUUGAAUAUUAUUAUAUUUUGGAUAAUGUUUUAUGAUAUAUUAUAUUUUUCUUUAAAAUUUUCCAAAUUUAAGAAUUUUUAAAAUUUCAUCUAAAUUUUUAUUUUUUAAUAAAAUUAAUUAUAUUUUCCCAAACUAAUAUAUACGACGUAAUCUGGUCGUAAAUAUUACGACCAAUUAACAUUGAACUACGUUGUAAUGUAGUCAUAAAUAUUACGACCUUUUUACGACUGCAGUCGAUGUUCAUUCGUCGUAAAAGGUACGAAGACAUAACGUCAAAUCUUUACGACUAAAUAAAAGGACGUAACAUUACAUUUAAAGUACGACGAAUUAGUUUACGUCUAUAUUAUGAAGACCGGUGUUAGUCGUGAGUCUACGACCCCUUUACGACGAAUCGUCCAUUACGACGAACUGCUAACAACGAUUUUGAUUUCGUAGUUCGUUUGUCGUAAACAUCAUAUUACGACGACUUAACGACUGAUUUUGUAGUAGUUAUGCCCGUGUUUUUUUGUAGUGCUAGCACUUCGAUUUCGGAUUAGUUGUGUAUCACAUCCCAAAACCUAUAAAGUAAUUAUAUAUCGUUUAGGUUCGUUUUUUGUUCAAUUUGGAUCAUACUUAAAUAAAAUAAUUAACUAAAAGUCUAAUCAUAGAAAAUCUAUACUAUUCAGGCACAAAUGUCCCAACAAAAUCCCGAAGGUGAACCGGUUCAGUUGUCUACCGUCGAACAAGACAAAAUAUUUGAGCAGGUAAAAUUUUCAAUCUUUUUAAUAUAUUUUAUACAUUUUAAUUUUUGAGUUUUAUAUAUGCAUGUACUAAUAUUCAUUUAAUUAAUUUAAUAUUAUCCCGAAGAAAAAGGGACGGGUGAUCGGGAUCGGUACGGUUGACGAUGUCUCGAGGGCGAGAGCUGCAUAUGCGGCGAGAAUGUAGGACGAUUCUCAGCUCCAUACAGAUUUGACGGCUGCCAACCAAGCCAUUUCGGAGCUUCGGGCAGACAACCAGGCCAACAAGACCCACAUUACGUCUUUGGUGGGGAUGUUCAUUCUUGUAGAGACUAACCCGGCUCUUGCAAAUAUGUGGCAAGCUGUACGUCCGACCAUUAACUCCAAUCCCACUCCCGAAGAGCAGGCGGAUAUAGAGCAACGGGCCCCUCAACGCAGUUCCGAGAUCAUCGACGACAUCAACCUUAAUAAUUAGAUUUUAUUUCUGUUAUGUAUUUUGUAUUUUGAAUAUUAUUAUAUUUUGGAUAAUGUUUUAUGAUAUAUUAUAUUUUUCUUUAAAAUUUUCCAAAUUUAAGAAUUUUUAAAAUUUCAUCUAAAUUUUUAUUUUUUAAUAAAAUUAAUUAUAUUUUCCCAAACUAAUAUAUACGACGUAAUCUGGUCGUAAAUAUUACGACCAAUUAACAUUGAACUACGUUGUAAUGUAGUCAUAAAUAUUACGACCUUUUUACGACUGCAGUCGAUGUUCAUUCGUCGUAAAAGGUACGAAGACAUAACGUCAAAUCUUUACGACUAAAUAAAAGGACGUAACAUUACAUUUAAAGUACGACGAAUUAGUUUACGUCUAUAUUAUGAAGACCGGUGUUAGUCGUGAGUCUACGACCCCUUUACGACGAAUCGUCCAUUACGACGAACUGCUAACAACGAUUUUGAUUUCGUAGUUCGUUUGUCGUAAACAUCAUAUUACGACGACUUAACGACUGAUUUUGUAGUAGUUAUGCCCGUGUUUUUUUGUAGUGCUAGCACUUCGAUUUCGGAUUAGUUGUGUAUCACAUCCCAAAACCUAUAAAGUAAUUAUAUAUCGUUUAGGUUCGUUUUUUGUUCAAUUUGGAUCAUACUUAAAUAAAAUAAUUAACUAAAAGUCUAAUCAUAGAAAAUCUAUACUUAAACUGAAUAAAAAGUAUUCAAUACAUAUCAAAUUCAAAAGAUAGCAACAUUUGCAAGUUUAUAACACUAAAAUACUUAAUGAUGAUAAUUCAAAAUUCAAAAAAUGGUAAGUAGUAUGUAUAUCAUAUACAUAACUAUAAUUAUAUAUGUUCGGAAUAUUUUCUUGGAGCCAGUCCGAAACUUUUAUUUCGGGUUAGAUUUGGAUUUGGGUUCAAAUUUCAGUUUUUAUGCCCAUGCCUAGUUACAUGUGGUCGUUGUCGUAUUAUGUAACUAAUUCUUCUUUACCCCUAAAAUAAGGUGAACUGGAAUUAUAUUGGAUCUUCAUGUUAUAUCGUAUCGAUGGCAAAACUUGUACGUUAAUGGUGGUUUGCUUGGCCGUUGGAGAUUCAUCCACUAAUCUACACCGUGGAAAUCUCAAUCUCACGGUUGGAAACGAUAAUAGUGUGUAAAUUUCAUAGGAAAUUUAUUCAAUCCAACGUCGGGCGAAGGGGUAUAAAAUAAUCGCAGACUAUUAACGUAAAACUUGGCGUGAUUUUCGUUAUACGGCUUAGUGAAAUCGAUCCAUUGUUUACUCUCAACAGAUUAAAUUAUAUUGUAUAGGGUAAUACAAAUAAUCAAUUAACUAAACAGCUUGAACAUUAUGAAACUCAAGAGUACAGGCUUAGGCCAACAAGAGCCUUCUUAGCAAUUACGUCAGCCUCGCUUGAUUUCUUUCUUUAUUCACCCGUUCAAGAGAACACUCUGGCAACAUUUCCAUCCACAUCUUGUCCACGAGUAUUGAUAAUAUUGGUGAGUUCAAGAAUAUCCCCCCUUCGAACCAAAAUUCCUCCAUCCCUUAAUCCAGAUGUUCUGGUGCGUACAGAAAAGCAUGAGCCUCACCAUCUAGACUGGAACUAACACCUCGAACUUUGGCCGAGCCUGAAGUGAAAAUUUGAACAUUGUCUAUUUAUCAUAGAUUCAUAGUAAAAGUGAAAAUCUGAUUAUUAUUUUUCUUAUAAGAUUUUGCUGAAGCACAUUCGUCUAACUACAUUUAGACGCAAUCGAAAAGAUAAUCAUUAAAUGACCACUAUAAAUUAUCCGGCCAAUUAGAGCCGUUUAUGCGGUUAUUAAUUUUUUUUUCUUUUUUUUUAUUUUUUUUGUCUAAAAAAAAAAGUGAAUACCGCCGCAUGUCGGUGGGGCCCGUAAACAGUGCAAAAAUUUCCCCAAGAUCAAUCCUUAUUUCGUGACUUUGGGGACCUUAAAAUUUAAGUGGGUCCACACAUUAAUUUUCUGAAGAAACUACUUUAAGGAUCCGCAAUAUUCAUGGCCUUAGAGCACUAGCAUUAAUGAACCCUCGGUUGGGGUUCAUAAUUUGAAUUUUUUAUUAUUUUUUAUUUAUUUUUUUAUGAUUUUUUUUUUAAAUAAAAAUAAAAUAAAAAUAAAUUGACCAAUAGCGGGCCGCCAUGUGGCGUGGGGCCCACUGAACAGUGACGACUCGGGUUCAUACGGAAGGAGCGUGGCGAGACAGGAUCAUUACUGUAGCAUAUUAUAAUAUAUUUUUUUCUGGGGAAGUGUGUGAACUUCACCCACGAACCUCCAAUGCUGGUGCUCUUAGGCCCAUGCACUUCUUUUGGACAACCAAGAUAAUAAUUUCAACGGAUGUAAGCACGACAAAGAGAAAAUUAAAUUCUUGCAAUUUUAUUUUUUGGAAUAAAAUAUUUUAUGAAUUUUAAAGUUAUGAAUUUUUUUAUAAUAGUAUUUUAUUUAAAACAAUGUUAAUAUUAUGGUUAUAUAGUAAUUAGUUCUUAUAAAUUUAGUUUUACUAAAAUUUGUGAAUUUAUAUUUAUCUAAUUUACUUUUAUCAAUAAAUUUUAAAUUUGAAUGACUGAUUUUUUAUUUAUUUUAUGGAUAUAAUAACUGAUAAUAGUAAUCAAAUCAUAUAUUUAAUAUUUUUUAUCAAUAAAUUCAACUUAAAGGUAAAAAUACCAAUUUAUUAUUAUUAUUAAUUUUUUGAAAUUAUUAUUCAUAUUGAACAAUGCAUUAAUAAUAAAACUAAUAUAUCUCUUGUAGCUCAUUCCAACACACCUAUCCUAUUUUAUUCCUUUAGUUUUUUUUUUUAAUUUGAAGGUAUUCCAAAUAAAUGAAAGCUUACAUUAAUUUCAAUUAGGUGAUGAACUGCAUUCUAUGCAAAUGGAGCAAAAGAAAAAAACACAAAUUUGUACGGAUGUUUAAAAGUAAUAUGACUUAAUUUCGGAUAUCAAGCAAAUCAGGCGUUUCAAACAAGUUACUUUACCACUUGAUCACAAGGUUCCCGAUAUCAAUCUUAGUCUUAUUUUUAAUAACCUAGGAUUAGCUCAAAUGAUUGAUGCAUUUAGUUAGGUAAACGCUCGUGAACUAAAUGUUCGUGAACCACACAAGACUAUUCUUUGUUUAAUCUUCGUUUGGCCCUAAAUCAUUCAAGGUGAACUGGAAUUAUAUUGAAUCUUCGUUUUAUCGUAUUGAUGGCGAAACUUGUACGUUAACGUAGAUGGUGGUUUGCUUGGCCGUUGGAGAUCCAUACACUGAUCUACACCGUUAAAAUCUUAAUCUCACGGUUGAAAACGAUAGUGUAAAUUUCUUAGAAAAUAUUAUUCAACCCAACGUCAGGCGAAGGGUUUGAAUUAAUCGCAGACUGUUCAACGUAAAACUUGGCGUGAAUUUCGUUAUGACGACUUACUGGAAUUGAUCCAUCGUUUACUUUAUCAUAAGUAAAAGUGAUAUAUCUGAAAUAUUUGUUCUUGUUUGAUUUUGAUGACGCACAUCCCUCUGCUACAUUUAGAUGCAAAGUUGCAAAUGGAAAAAAUCAUUAGAUGGCCCAUGUAAAUUAUCAGGCCUAUUAGGCCCAUGCAUUUCUUUGGACAACCAAAAUAAUAAUUUUGAGGUGUAUCUAGAAUUUUCAUUUUCAUUUUUCACGGAUGAUAAUACGACAAAGAGAAAAUCAGAGUCAUACUUUGUAAUCGUCGUUCAUUUCCGUCUCGUCUUCGUCGUGGCUGAACUCCACUGCCGGUGUUCUUCUCCGCCGUGAUUCAAGCCUUUCCCAAAACAGCAGCAAGCUCUCCGGUUACAUAUGUUGCUCGUUAUCACUCCAAGCGACCACGACAAUCUUCCUCGAUCCGCCUCUGUAACCCGUCUCAGCUCUCCUCCGCCAUGGAAUCAAGCUUUUCCGUCGCCGGAUCCUCCACCAUCAUGCUCCAGAUCCGGGAGAGAAAGGUCGUGAGCUCCAAUGGCCAUUCUUGGCUUAUUUUCAAGUCUGAUCCUUUGUCUUUGGAUAAUUACUCUUUGAUCCCAAAAUUAUCAGAUUUGCAGAACAUAUAUCUCUAAUUGACCCCAAGUCUUUCAAUUGUUUAAUUGUAACCCAACUUAACUUUUUAAUAAAAAACUAGCAGAGCACAAAAUCUAAAGUGUCUCUUAACUAAAAUUCUAGUCAACAAUUAUAUACUAAAAUAACCAUUAAGAGAUAUUAAUGGAGUUCGUGGGUUAAUCAUGCUCUUAUAUGUAUUGGUUGCACUAGCUUUAUUACCUUUUUUGUUGUCGGAGAUCAAACUGAAAAACAGAAUACAACUUCUUUGGUAACUAAUAUCAGAUCCACAAAGGUGUUAGUUAAUUUACUGAAAACAUGGUACCCUCUUCACUUGUGAUUAGAAGCAACUUAAGCUGUAAAGAAACAUGCAGUUAAGAAAUUCAUUUGUUUGACUGUGUGCAUGUAUGAUCUUCUUCCUGAUUCUAAGAGGCAACUAUGUUUUGAUUCUUCAAGAGAUCAUUCUAAUAUUAUGGGCGAAAAGAUUCUAACUUUUCGAAAAUCUGAGAUGGGAGAGAUCGAGGGCGGUGAUAGGUUCUGUGUAUCGGGUCAACAUCCUGUUUGGUUCACUUUGAAGAGUCACGAUGAAGCUACAUAGGAGAGGAGGGAGAGAGCACGAUGGGCAAAUCUUCAUCUUCCUCUAAGAAACUUAAACGCUCCUCUAGAGAAGAUCCCUCUAAGGUACUCUCGAUUCAAUGAUUUUUUUUUUUUUUUUUGUGAUUUACCCAUUAUGUAUACAUAUUAGCAAAGAUCGAAACUUUCGAUUUGAGUUUAUGUAAAGUGUCGACCUUUAGUUACUUUCGAAUUAGGGUUUUGAUGUGUAACUCUUCUUGGAUUGGAAAAAAAACUUAUAUUACUACUGAAUGUUUAACAGAAGAAACAGAGAAAAGCGUUUGUUACCUCCUCAUGAAUCCUUUAAGAUUAUGUGUUCAAGUUCUGUAUUGUAAUUUGAGUUACGUUUAAUCGUUUAAAUCUUUUUUUUUUUGGCUUACUAUUUUUGUUAAUCAAUCUAUUUGUUCUCUCUGAGCUUGUAAAUGUUACGGGAAGUGUUUUUAAAACCGGACCGACCUGAUGGUUGACCGGGUUCGACCAUGAACCGGUUAUAUAGUCGGGUUGGACCUAAUAAUUGGUUCGACCAUGAACUGACGACGUAGAUGGUUUGGAUUUCAAAGUUAUUAAACCGAUAAAAGCCACUAAAACUAUAAAAAAUCUAUGAACCAUCCAUUAAAUAUAAAAUUCGUUUAUAUUUAUAAUGUUUUAUGUUUAAAAGUUAUUUAUAUUUUAAUUAUGUAUCAUAUUUAAUAACAUUACUUUAAAAUUUAUAUACUAAAAAUAUAUUAAACCAAAGUAUUGAACCAAGUUUGACCCGGUCGAACCAUAUUAAACCGUGAUCCAAAAAAAUUCGGUUCAGCUUUCGGUCCGGUUUUAAAAACACUGGUUAUGGGUCUCCAAAAGAUUAUUGAUUCCUACACGUGGAAAGCCAUCAUUUUGUGGGUUAGCUGUUUCACUUUUGGUUUUAAUCACAAGCUAAUUAUUGUGAAUAAAAAGACUAAUUAUUAGUGAUUAAGAUAUCAUAUUUCUAGAUCUUGAUAAUUGCUUGCAACAGCAAGAUGAUGUUUGGUUAAGAAAUAAGAACAAAAUCCAUAAUUAAGCAAAACCAUUAUGCCUUUUAUGAGCCUUUGACCCCAUUGUUGUCACAUCUCUACUUCUGUCUUUCCACCUCUGUCUGCAAAAACAGAGGAACCCUUUCCUCUGUUUCUUACUUUUGUCAAAGUUUAACUCUGAUAAAAGCAUGUAAGAAUGACAAGGAAUAGAAGAGAUAACAAAGUCUCAUUAGUAAAAAAUAAAAGCAUACAUAUUAAUGAGAUUUGUAAUCAUAAUCUCCUUAUAAUCUUUGUAUUUAUUCAGGUUUUGUCGUUUUUAUCGCUGGGAGGUGCAUGCUCAUUCGCUUCUUUUCAUGUGCUUCAACGAUGACGACGAUUUCUACGCUUACACUGCCUUCUGGUAAAAAAAAGAGAGUUGGAAAUAUUUACAUUUUAAGCUAUAAAACAAUGUUUUGAAGAGAGUUAUGACUGUUGUGUUGUGAAGCAGUUAUUUAGUUACAGUGAUGGGUUUAGUAACACCAUGGAGCGUUACGUUAGCCCUACUUGAAGCGUACUCCAUCAUCGUUCAAAGACUUCCUCUGCAAGCAACAGUUUUAUCUGUCAUCGUCUCUGGAGACUUGGUAAGUUCUCUAUACUUCUCUAUGUGUAUGUAGAAUCUAAGCUACAUUCAUCUACAAAUGUAAGACGCACCAAAAGGAGAUUAACAUUAUUAGUUCAUUUGAUUAGAAACGUGUGUUUUAAAUGAACCAAAUAUUUUGAAGAGGUCCAAAUAAAUCAAUUGUGGAUACUGGCUAGUAAUAGACAUAGUGGAUAUACGAUUAUAUCUUUGAUUGGUUGCUAUCAAAAUACAAUCUAGGAACCUUUGGUAUUGCAACACAUUUCACAACUUUUCAUUAGCUUUUCUGCAAUAACUUAUCCCACUAUAAAUGUCUGUUGUGGACCAUAUGAGAAAAAGAUGGAUGUCCAAACCGCAUUAGCCACUGAAAGGAUAAAGCUUUAUAUAUACACCAACUUAGUUAUCUAAUAAUGGUAUCCACUGUAAAAAAAUAGAUCCGGUGUUCUAAAUUUUCAGGUCAAUAAUCUGUUGGUUCUUGUUUAACUUAGACUCUACUUUUUUUUUUUUUUAUUUUGGUAAUCGACUUUGUGGUGCAAUCUCAAACUAAUAAAGCAUUAAUAGUAUAAGUUGUGGAAAUUAACAUAUCUAUAUUAAACUGGUUCAUCUGAAACGAGUUAUACCAAAGCUAGAUAAAGUUGAUCCAACAUCUAGUACAUAGCAAUUACAGUGGAAUGUCGAACACUUGCUUUGCUUUAAUCACUAGAUUACAUCAAUUUGUACAUCUAUGUUGUCGUUGUUGGAUGGUGGUCGACUCUCUAAAUUUUGAUGACCCUUCAAAGGAACUUAAUUCAAUGUCGUUUUUCUUUACAUUUAUAAUAAGUAUAACCAAUUAACACAAACACACAUGCAAAAACAGAAGUAGUAUAGUCUAAAUUAAGUAAUGCAAUGUAGUAAAAAAUAAAAGCAUACAUAUUAAUGAGAUUUGUAAUCAUAAUCUCCUUAUAAUCUUUGUGUUUAUUCAGGUUUUGUCGUUUUUAUCGCUGGGAGGUGCAUGCUCAACGGCGAGCGUGACCGUAAUUUUGAUUGGUGCUGGAGAGAAGCAUUGUGAUCGGUACAAGUUAUCGGCGACAAUGGCGUUCUUGUCUUCGUUUCUUUCCUUUGCUUCCACUUUCUUUAACUUUCGUCUUCUCCCUUCUCUAUUUUCUAGUUAGUCAGAUUUUUGUUUCACCCGUUUAUAGUUAUUUCUCUUUUUAUAGUUCAGAGAAACGUGAUAAAAUUGUAUCUUUGUAGGAAAAUAAUAUAUUCGAAUUGUUUCUCAGUGCAUACAUUAUAGGAUUCGUAUUCUUAGAUAUCCUAAACUCGCACCAAUGUUAUAGUUGUACUUUGGAUCCACUUAUCUUUAGGUACUAAAAUAUUUGAUCGCGCUCACCUAUAUAAUAUUAACCCGAUUAGCUGAACUUUUAUUACUAUUUAUUCAGAAAAAAACAUAGGUCUAGUUUUGAAAUCUUUUUUACGAUAUUUUAAAACCCUACAUUCUGUAUUUGUUUAAUUCAAUUAGCAAAUGUCAUAUCGGAUGCCCCAUUAGAACACUGUAUUUAUAGAAAACUGUUGUAGCAUUUUAACUGUAACAGUUUUGACCUUGUUUCUUGUCAUAUAGUACAUAGUUGGUAAAGCUUAUUGCAGCAUUGCACAUGUGUCUACCUAAACUUUCUAAACUAUAUCUGCACCAAACUUAUCAAAGAAAACUAAGAGCAUCUUAUCCCAUAUACCCUAUCAAGGGUUUCUUUUUUUUUUUUUAGUUUUUUUUUUCUAAUUUAAAAAAAAGAAAAUUAAAAAGCAGACCAAUCGCGGAGCGCCACGUGUCGGUGGAACCCGCAAACAGUGCAAAACACACACAUCAGUCGUUUCUUAUUUUGCCCACUUUGCAUACGGUUUUUCUAAAACCUCGGCCCCCCACCGCUUUAGAGACGUUAAAAAUGUAGCGAUAAUAAUGCUCUAAUAGUGACAUAAAACAUAACAAUUAAAAGCCAGGAAAGUAACUUUUUUUAAGAAAAAAUUGCCAAAACACCACAGAAAAACAACUACAUUGUCCCUAUACCAUAAAUCAUUUUUUUGUCAGAUUUGGACUUAGAUACCUCUGGUCAACUUCAAAAAUUCAUAUCAAUUAUUUUAAGAGUCAGAAAAAUAUGAAAAAUUAUUCAAAAUGUACAUAAACAUGAAACAAUCAUAUGAAAAAUAAUUUGGUUGACUAAAUAUUAGUGAAACACAAUUUCAUUCCAUUUAUUCAUGAUUAAAAUUGGAAUGAAAUAAAUUUUUAUGGAAUUGAUGGAAUAAAUAUUAUAUUUCAUUCAUUACAAACAAAUGGUACACCAAUUUAUGGUAUAAAUGAAAUAGAGAAUUUCACAUUAUUUUAUUCCAAAAAUUGGCAUUCCAGUUUUGGUACUUAUGGAAGUAAUUUAAGCUUCCCAACUCUCUAAAAAGAAAGCAUAUUUUAAGAACGUGAAAAUUAACAUUAACAAUUAUAGAUAGUUGACGAAAAACCCCUUUGAUAUAUUGUAUUGACAUAUUUUUCAAUUGCUAAUUCAGGUUUUCUAAAGAGAAAAAGACAAAAAUAGCACUAAAUCAAGUUUUUGUUCCCAAACUAGCACUUAAGGUCAAAAGUCACAAAAAUAGCACUUAAUGUUAUAUCAAAAGUCACAAACUUAGGGUUUAGAGUUAAAGGGUGGAGUUUAGGAUUUAGGGUUUAGGGUUUAGGGUUUAGAGUUUAGGGUUUAGGGUUUAAAUUUUAGGGUUUAGGGUUUAGGGUUUAGGGUUUAGAGUUUAGAGUUUAGGGUUUAGAGUUUAGGGUUUAGGGUUUAGAGUUUAUGGUUUAGGGUUUAGAGUUUAGGGUUUAGGGUUUAGGGUUUAGGGUUUAGAGUUGAAAAAUGAGGUUUUGGGAAUAAGAUUUCAAAUUUUGAAAAAUAAAAAAAUUAAAAUUUUCAAAGGAUAAACUUAGAAAUGUGCUAUUUUGGUCAUUUUUGUUUUUGAGUGCUAUUUUUGUGAUAUAAACUUAGAAAGAUGCUAUUUUGGAGAUUUGCCCUUUUUUAAAAACUGAAAAUAAGAAAGUCUUUUUUUUGUAUGUUCGACUGUUAAAGUUAAGACUUUAAUUUGCGAAUCAAGAUCAACGAUAUAAAAAAUGACCAAUAGAACAUUAGAAAAUGACAAUUUUCUCUACGAAAACAAACAAGAUAGGGGUUUCAAAUUAAGCAAACAGAUUACUGGAUUCUGUUAUCAUACAAGUGACUGAUUAUCGUUAUACCAAUACACCAUAUGAAAUUUAACACAAAUUUUUAUUUCGCCCUAGGGGGCGUAUACAUUAAUUAUUUAAAAACCAACAUAGCUGCAUGCUUAUUUAAGGUUAGCAAACAUGUAACGAACGAAGAUAACUUCUACUAGAUAUUACUCGACUCGUGACUCGUGAGUACAGCUAGACUUGAAAGUUUACGUUCGAUUUAUACUUUUCACCGGGCUCCCAACCGGCCGGAAUAACAUCAGAAGCCACAACGGUCUCGCCGGAGUCUAGAUUAGUCAACCGGAGAGACAGUGGAGCCCGUAAAGGUGACGUCACGUCAAGCUUCCACACCGCACCCCAUGAUUGGCUCAUCGGAAGCCAUGUGUCCGAAUCUAAAGCUUGUUUGAGUUCAACUAGGCCGAUCUCCCCGUCUCCGUCUUCAUACUCAAUCAAAGCCGCGAAGGAGCAGGGGUUUGAACCAUUUUCCACGUGAAACGUCACCGUUUCGCCAAUAUAGUUGCACUCAACUCUACAAACAAAUAAGCGAAAACAAUAAUUACAACAAAAACAAUAACCAAACUUUAUCAUAACAAUGUUGUUGUAGUCAUUUAUUUACUGUGACAUAUAUAUACUUUCUAUAAAGAAUCUGCAAAACUCCGACAUCUCGAAGCUGACUAUCUUGACCAGAACUCGCCAGUGCACCAAACGCUGUACCGCUCAAAUCGAAAUGAACCGAUUCUGUGACGCAUCCUUUACAUUCAUCUGUAAUCACUACCGUAACCGGGUUCGUUGAACACGCUGGUUUCGAAGUGCAUUUUAUCUGUACAUUAUAUCAACCAACGUAAGGACUUUAAUUUAUUAAACGCUUUCUUUAUUGUAAUAAGUUUAUCAUGUAGAACCUGAUAACAUGCACCACAUCCUUUCCCCGACUUAUACAACGACGGACCUCCGGCUGAUACCAUGGACGAAAACGGAGCUUGUGCCACAGCAUUUUCAUAACCACACGCUCCACCUUUCAUUAUUUUGUAGUCUAGUUAGUUUUAUAUAUAGAGCUAAAUAAUUUAUAUAGAGAUGUAAGUGCAUGUUGCAUAGUAUACCGUUGCUUCCGUAGCCGGUGGGGCUGCCAUACCACGUAGCUCCAGCUAGAGACCAAUCUGAAUCGCCCGUUGCAGCAGAAAUAUUGAGUCUUUUUGGGUAAAAGCAAUGAGCAGAGUUUAAUAGAAUAAAAGUUAGACCAAAGAAUAAGUUCAUGAUAACGUGACAUCGCUCUGAGACAAGAAUUGUCAUUGUAAUAAUAAGUAACUAGUUAGUCAUAACUUGGUGUUACUUUAUAGAUUUAUCGUUCAUCGAUCAAAAUCCGUGAAGGACUCUACUACCCAACUGUUUUAAGCCACGUGUCAUAUAGUAACGUCUAGUACGCCUAGCCCAACUUAUCGGACACGUGAAGUCUUUUGUCUUUUGUCUUACUUCGAACUGGGUCCUACGUGACGGUUAACGGUUAGGCCCACAGUUUCAUGUGGUCGAAAUUUUCGUUGUCGUAAUAUGUAAAUAAUUCCUCUUUACCCCUAAAUCAAGGUGAACUGGAAUUAUAUUGGAUCUUCGUUUUAUCGUAUCGAUGGCGAAACUUGUACGUUAAUGUAGCCGUUAAUGGUGGUUUGCUGCUUGGCCGUUGGAUAUCCAUUCACUGAUCUACACCAUUGAAAUUUCAAUCCCACGGUUGAAAACGAUAUAGUGUGUGAAUUUAUAGAAAAGUUAUUCAAACCCAAUGUCAGGCGAGGAGUUUGAAAAUAAUCAUAGAUUGUUGAACGUAAAACUUGGCGUGAAUUUCGUUACGACGACUUACUGAAACCGAUCCAUUGUUUACUUUGUCUUUAUCAUAGUAAAAAAUGAAAAUCUGAAAUAUUUUUUUUUGACUUAUUCUUGGGUUCACCACCGUUCACCGACCAAUAGGAUUGUGUUAUUUCAUAUUCGAUAUUUUUUAAAAAAGGAAACAAAAUAUUGUCAAAUUAUAUUAUAUUUUUAAAAUUAAAAAGUAAAAAGAAAUAAAUAAAAAAUAGUAGUAAUUACAAAAAAAAAAUAUUUUUAACGUCAUCAGCAAAACAUUAAACCCUAAAUCCUAAUCCCUAAACCCUAAAUCCUAAACCCUAAACCCUUAGGUAAACCCUAAACUCUAGGAUAAAUCUUAAACUCUAGGAUAAAUCUUAAACUCUAAAUCAAAAUCACUAAACACUAAAAUACUCAAGGGUUUAGGGUUUAGGAUUUAGGGUUUAGGGAUUAGGAUUUAGGGUUUAAUGUUUUGCUGACGACGUUAAAUUUUUUUUUUUUUGUAAUUACUACUAUUUUUAAUUAUUUCUUUUUACCUUUUAAUUUUAAAAAGAUAAUAUAAUUUGACAAUAUUUUGUUUCCUUUUGUAAAAGAUAUCAAAUAUUGAAUAACACAAUCCUAUUGGUCGGUAAACCCAAGAAUAAGUCUUUAUUUUACUAGAUUUUGAUGACGCACAUCACAUCCGGCUGACUUCAUCGUACACGCAGACGAAAAAAAUGGACAGAACUUAGCGUGAACCUUUAAAUUCACUGAAACCUUUAAAACUAAUCAAAGUGAUAUAUAAAUUAUUAAUUAAAAAAUAUUAAGUUAAAUAAAAAAUAGCUACAAAAAAUAAAAACGCUAAUUUUAACGACGUUAACGCUUCCGGCUAAACCCUAAAUCCUAAAUCUUAAAUUCUAAACCCUAAACCCUAUAAAUUCUAAACCCAAAUCCAAACCCCUAAACCCAAACCCUAUACCCUAAACCCUAAUCCUAGACCCUAAACCCAAAUUAUAUACCCUAAACCCAAAAACUAGACUAUAAACAUAAACUCUAUACCCUAAACAAACCCAAACCGUAAACCUUAAACCCAAAUUAUAUACCAUAAACCCAAAACGUUAACCAUAAGUCCAAACGGUAAAUCCUAAACCCAAACCGUAAACCUUAAACCCAAAUUAUAUACCCUAAACCCACUAAGACUUUGGUUUAGCCAAACGGUAAACCCUAAACCCAAACUUAGGUGCUAUAGGGUUUGGGUUAAGGUUUACGGUUUGGGUUUAGGGUCUAAGACUUUGGUUUAGGGUAUAGGGUUUAGGCUUAUAGUCUUAUUUUUUUGGUUUAAGGUAUUUGAGUUUAGGGUUUAGGAUUAGGGUUUAUGGUAUAGGAUUUAGGUUUAGGGGUUUGGAUUUGGGUUUAGAAUUUAGGGUAUAGGGUUUAGAAUUUAAGAUUUAGGGUUUAGGGUUUCGUUAGCGCGUUAACAUCGUUAAAAUUAACAUAUUUAUUUUUUUAACUACUUUUUAUUUAAUUUAAUAUUUUUUAGUUAAUAAUCUAUGUGACAUUUUAAUUGGUCAUUAAGAGUGAGGUGAAUUUUCAGAAAAAAUCAUUAGAUUGGCCGGUAUAAAUUAGCAGGCCUAUUAAGCCCAUGUACUUCUUUGGACAACCAAAAUAAUGUUUUUUUACCUAAAUAAUGUUAAUCUUAUGGUCUUAUAUAUUAAUUAGUUUUAUAAAUUUGGUAUCACUAAACUGUUUGAAUUUAUUAAUGCUCUCUUUUAUUUUUAUUAAUACUAGAUCCUUUUUCCGCGCUACGCGCGGAUAAUAUAUUUAAAUUUAUUACAUUUAUUAUUUUUUUAUUUGUAUGUGAAUUUUUGUAAGUUAAAUUAUAUAAAUAACUAAUUUUUAAAUUUGUUUUUUUAUAUAUUUAAUUUAAAGUAAGCAUUUCUAUUAUAUGUAACAUAAUUAACUAAUAAAAUAUGAAGAAUCAAGUCCGAGAUUUUAGAGUUAUAUAAAAAAAAUAUAAUUAUGUAUAGAACAUAAAUUAUAUUAGUUUAAAAGAUCGGAAUCUCAUCUCGAAUAAAUUCACGAAAAGAAAAAGUACUCCAAUAACCUACUUAAAAUAUAAAGUCUCAUUUUCAAAAAAAAAACGUACUUAAUAAUAUUUUUUUACAUGUAAUAGUUGAAAACUGACAAUUCAAUAUCGAUUUAGAAUAUUAUUUUAAUAUAUCUAAUGGUAAAAUAUUAAUUGUAAUAAACAAAUUUUGAAUUUUGUAAUAUUACAUGAAUUAGAAGUCUUUAAAAUCUAAAAUCUAUUUUAUUAACAUGAUAUAUUUUUUAUUAAUUUAUUAUUUUGAUGUUACAAAAUAUUGCUUUAGUUUUAUUUGUAUAUUAAUUUUUUAAUAAUUUAGUUUUUUUUUAAGUAAUUUUAAAAUUAUCAAUAAUAUAAUAUAUUUAAAUUAUUUAUUUAAAUAUAUCCAAAUAUGAAAUAAAGAUUUAUUUAAAUAUAUCGCAAAGGCUUAACCUUUAUUUCAUUGUCUUUCUCUCUCUAGGAGCAUAGCCCCCGCGCAAGCACGGAGCCGUGUAUAUUGUUGAUGUGUUGUGUAAUUUUGUGUAUGGGAUUUUUUUGUUUGUUCUUUUUUUAAUUCUUGUUUUUCCGUAUUAUUUAAAAUGGUGGCGAAUGGAACAGUAGAAGUCACACAACUUGAUUAGAUUGAUAUAAGAAUGACCAGAGAAUUCAUAUGUGUUGAUAUUUUCAUAUUUUAUCUUCGUAAUGAUUUAAUUGACCAUUGGCGUUAUUUUUUUGUUUGUUCUUUUUUUAAUUCUUGUUUUUCGGUAUUAUUUAAAAUGGUGGUGAGUGGAACAUUAGAAGUCACACAACUUGAUUAGAUUGAUAUAAGAAUGACCAGAGAAUUCAUAUGUGUUGAUAUUUUCAUAUUUUAUCUUCGUAAUGAUUUAAUUGACCAUUGGCGUUAUUUUUUUGUUUGUUCUUUUUUUAAUUCUUGUUUUUCGGUAUUAUUUAAAAUGGUGGUGAGUGGAACAUUAGAAGUCACACAACUUGAUUAGAUUGAUAUAAGAAUGACCAGAGAAUUCAUAUGUGUUGAUAUUUUCAUAUUUUAUCUUCGUAAUGAUUUAAUUGACCAUUGGCGUUAUUUUUUUGUUUGUUCUUUUUUUAAUUCUUGUUUUUCCGUAUUAUUUAAAAUGGUGGUGAGUGGAACAUUAGAAGUCACACAACUUGAUUAGAUUGAUAUAAGAAUGACCAGAGAAUUCAUAUGUGUUGAUAUUUUCAUAUUUUAUCUUCGUAAUGAUUUAAUUGACCAUUGGCGUUAUUUUUUUGUUUGUUCUUUUUUUAAUUCUUGUUUUUCCGUAUUAUUUAAAAUGGUGGUGAGUGGAACAUUAGAAGUCACACAACUUGAUUAGAUUGAUAUAAGAAUGACCAGAGAAUUCAUAUGUGUUGAUAUUUUCAUAUUUUAUCUUCGUAAUGAUUUAAUUGACCAUUGGCGUUAUUUUUUUGUUUGUUCUUUUUUUAAUUCUUGUUUUUCCGUAUUAUUUAAAAUGGUGGUGAGUGGAACAUUAGAAGUCACACAACUUGAUUAGAUUGAUAUAAGAAUGACCAGAGAAUUCAUAUGUGUUGAUAUUUUCAUAUUUUAUCUUCGUAAUGAUUUAAUUGACCAUUGGCGUUAUUUUUUUGUUUGUUCUUUUUUUAAUUCUUGUUUUUCCGUAUUAUUUAAAAUGGUGGUGAGUGGAACAUUAGAAGUCACACAACUUGAUUAGAUUGAUAUAAGAAUGACCAGAGAAUUCAUAUGUGUUGAUAUUUUCAUAUUUUAUCUUCGUAAUGAUUUAAUUGACCAUUGGCGUUAUUUUUUUGUUUGUUCUUUUUUUAAUUCUUGUUUUUCCGUAUUAUUUAAAAUGGUGGUGAGUGGAACAUUAGAAGUCACACAACUUGAUUAGAUUGAUAUAAGAAUGACCAGAGAAUUCAUAUGUGUUGAUAUUUUCAUAUUUUAUCUUCGUAAUGAUUUAAUUGACCAUUGGCGUUAUUUUUUUGUUUGUUCUUUUUUUAAUUCUUGUUUUUCCGUAUUAUUUAAAAUGGUGGUGAGUGGAACAUUAGAAGUCACACAACUUGAUUAGAUUGAUAUAAGAAUGACCAGAGAAUUCAUAUGUGUUGAUAUUUUCAUAUUUUAUCUUCGUAAUGAUUUAAUUGACCAUUGGCGUUAUUUUUUUGUUUGUUCUUUUUUUAAUUCUUGUUUUUCCGUAUUAUUUAAAAUGGUGGUGAGUGGAACAUUAGAAGUCACACAACUUGAUUAGAUUGAUAUAAGAAUGACCAGAGAAUUCAUAUGUGUUGAUAUUUUCAUAUUUUAUCUUCGUAAUGAUUUAAUUGACCAUUGGCGUUAUUUUUUUGUUUGUUCUUUUUUUAAUUCUUGUUUUUCCGUAUUAUUUAAAAUGGUGGUGAGUGGAACAUUAGAAGUCACACAACUUGAUUAGAUUGAUAUAAGAAUGACCAGAGAAUUCAUAUGUGUUGAUAUUUUCAUAUUUUAUCUUCGUAAUGAUUUAAUUGACCAUUGGCGUUAUUUUUUUGUUUGUUCUUUUUUUAAUUCUUGUUUUUCCGUAUUAUUUAAAAUGGUGGUGAGUGGAACAUUAGAAGUCACACAACUUGAUUAGAUUGAUAUAAGAAUGACCAGAGAAUUCAUAUGUGUUGAUAUUUUCAUAUUUUAUCUUCGUAAUGAUUUAAUUGACCAUUGGCGUUAUUUUUUUGUUUGUUCUUUUUUUAAUUCUUGUUUUUCCGUAUUAUUUAAAAUGGUGGUGAGUGGAACAUUAGAAGUCACACAACUUGAUUAGAUUGAUAUAAGAAUGACCAGAGAAUUCAUAUGUGUUGAUAUUUUCAUAUUUUAUCUUCGUAAUGAUUUAAUUGACCAUUGGCGUUAUUUUUUUGUUUGUUCUUUUUUUAAUUCUUGUUUUUCCGUAUUAUUUAAAAUGGUGGUGAGUGGAACAUUAGAAGUCACACAACUUGAUUAGAUUGAUAUAAGAAUGACCAGAGAAUUCAUAUGUGUUGAUAUUUUCAUAUUUUAUCUUCGUAAUGAUUUAAUUGACCAUUGGCGUUAUUUUUUUGUUUGUUCUUUUUUUAAUUCUUGUUUUUCCGUAUUAUUUAAAAUGGUGGUGAGUGGAACAUUAGAAGUCACACAACUUGAUUAGAUUGAUAUAAGAAUGACCAGAGAAUUCAUAUGUGUUGAUAUUUUCAUAUUUUAUCUUCGUAAUGAUUUAAUUGACCAUUGGCGUUAUUUUUUUGUUUGUUCUUUUUUUAAUUCUUGUUUUUCCGUAUUAUUUAAAAUGGUGGUGAGUGGAACAUUAGAAGUCACACAACUUGAUUAGAUUGAUAUAAGAAUGACCAGAGAAUUCAUAUGUGUUGAUAUUUUCAUAUUUUAUCUUCGUAAUGAUUUAAUUGACCAUUGGCGUUAUUUUUUAGAGAUAGAAAUGGGAGGACUAGUCGGUGUCCUCGCUGGUCUCGUCGUCGCUCCCGGACGAAGGAUCCCUGCGCUGCCUAGAAGGUCCUGCUGCUGCUGGUGAGUGAGCUCUGAUGGUCCUCCUGCUCGUGCAAGAUACUCUAGCCCAGAUGGCACGAAGAGCAUCCACAACUACCCUCUGAAAGUCUCCCUGAUCGCGCAUAGGGAUGUCUGGUAUGAUCGGAAAAUCAGGAAGAGGUGCCUCCGGUGGUCCCUGUGUAGCUCUGGCUCAACGCACUCCGUAAGGUCUGUGCGGGAUAGCCGGAAGAUCGCGGAGGAGCUGGGAAUCGGGCAUGAACCGGAGCCUAUCGAUCUUGUCAUCGAAGUCUGUGAUCAUCCUGUUCGGCAUCGGCAGUAGACGGUGCUGGUUCCCGAUCCUAAAACUCCAGAGAAGUUCCUCCUUGAGCCAACCUGAGUUCAU